rnacentral:rRNA from 1 species
AACGAACGCUGGCGGCAGGCCUAACACAUGCAAGUCGAGCGAGAUCUUCGGAUCUAGCGGCGGACGGGUGAGUAACGCGUGGGAAUAUGCCCUUUGGUACGGAAUAGCCUCGGGAAACUGAGAGUAAUACCGUAUGUGCCCUUCGGGGGACAGAUUUAUCGCCAAAGGAUUAGCCCGCGUUGGAUUAGGUAGUUGGUGGGGUAAUGGCCUACCAAGCCUACGAUCCAUAGCUGGUUUGAGAGGAUGAUCAGCCACACUGGGACUGAGACACGGCCCAGACUCCUACGGGAGGCAGCAGUGGGGAAUCUUAGACAAUGGGGGAAACCCUGAUCUAGCCAUGCCGCGUGAGUGAUGAAGGCCUUAGGGUUGUAAAGCUCUUUCAGCUGGGAAGAUAGUGACGGUACCAGCAGAAGAAGCCCCGGCUAACUCCGUGCCAGCCGCCGCAGUAA